rnacentral:rRNA from 1 species
GAUCUGGUUCAGGACGAACGCUGGCGGCGUGCCUAACACAUGCAAGUCGAGCGAGGAGAUCCUUCGGGAUGAUCCUAGCGGCGGACGGGUGAGUAACACGUGGGCAACCUGCCUCAUAGAGAGGAAUAGCCUUCCGAAAGGGAGAUUAAUACCUCAUAACAUUGCAGUUUCGCAUGGAACAGCAAUUGAAGGAGCAAUCCGCUAUGAGAUGGGCCCGCGGCGCAUUAGCUAGUUGGUGAGGUAACGGCUCACCAAGGCGACGAUGCGUAGCCGACCUGAGAGGGUGAUCGGCCACAUUGGGACUGAGACACGGCCCAGACUCCUGCGGGAGGCAGCAGUGGGGAAUAUUGCACAAUGGGGGAAACCCUGAUGCAAGCAACGCCGCGUGAGUGAUGACGGCCUUCGGGUUGUAAAGCUCUGUCUUCAGGGACGAUAAUGACGGUACCUGAGGAGGAAGCCACGGCUAACUACGUGCCAGCAGCCGC